rnacentral:rRNA from 1 species
CGGGUGCACUGGUCCGGCUGGGCCUUUCCCUCUGUGGAACCCCAUGGCCUUCACUGGGUGUGCCGGGGAACCCGGACUUUUACUGUGAAAAAAUUACAUUGCUCCAGGAAGGCCUAUGCUCGAAUACAUUAGCAUGGAAUAAUAGAAUAGGACGCGUGGUUCUAUUUUGUUGGUUUCUAGGACCGCCAUAAUGAUUAAUAGGGACAGUCGGGGGCAUCAGUAUUCAAUUGUCAGAGGAGAAAUUCUUGGAUCUAUUGAAGACUAACUACUGCGAAUGCAUCUGCCAAGGAUGUUUUCAUUAAUAAGGAACGAAAGUAAGGGGAUCGAAGACGAUCCGAUACCGUCCUAGUCUUAACCAUAAACUAUGCCGACUAGGGAUCGGACGAUGUUAUUCCUUGACGCGUUCGGCACCUUUCUGAGAAAUCAAAGUGCUUGGGCUCCCGGGGGAGUAUGGUCGCAAGGCUGAAACUUAAAGAAAUUGACGGAAGGGCACCACCAGGGGUGGAGCCUGCGGCUUAAUUUGACUCAACACGGGGAAACUCACCAGGUCCAGACACAGUGAGGAUUGACAGAUUGAGAGCUCUUUCUUGAUUCUGUGGGUGGUGGCGCAUGGCCGUUCUUAGUUGGUGGAGUGAUUUGUGAGCUUAAUUGGGAUAACGAACGCGACCUUAACAUUAUAAAUAACCAUCCUCCCUCAGGCACUUCUCCGGCUUAAAGCGGGACGCUCGG